CAGGCUAAAGAGAAGCAUUUGGGAAAGGGAGUUUCAGAGCCAAGCUCAUCUUACCCCACAGACAACCGGGGGUUCUUUCAGUGUCCCAGGAUGGCUGAGACUUGGAGCAUGGCGCUGAUCGCAAGGAAUGCUCAAAGUCUGCAGAGGAAUAGGAGGAUUGGCUCACGGUCACCAGGCCCAGUAGAUUCGUACCAUCUGCUGUAGUUUGGGACUGGAAUGUCCUCCAAAGGUCCAUGUGUUGAAGGCUCUGUCUCCAGUGUGGCACUGUUGGGAGGUGGUGGAAGCUUUAAGGGAUCAGCCCCAGAAGAUGGUCUUUAGGUCCCUGGAGGCUUCCUGGAUUUGAGACCACAACCAGAGGGAGAUGGGUCCCUGUUGACAUUCUGAGACACCAUCUCAAGACUGUGUCGGGUGAAGGAAAAUGGCCCUGUCAUGCCUCACUAUCGCUGAUGACACCAAGACCUGGAACUUCAUCCUUCCUUGGGACUUAGAUUCUAUGGUCCUACCUCUCACCAACACUCACCCAGAGUUGUCUUAGUACUCUAAUGCAGGGUAAUGGAAAAAUUUCCCUUUUAGUUUGUGAUGGGAACCUUGGUGUGUCUUCAUCUGGAUGACGUGGACGAGUCUGGGAGUGCUCUGAUCCCCAGCAUUCUUAACUGUGCUGUGGACAUAAUAUUACUUUUUCCAUGAAUUUUUUGGGAGAAUGAAACUGUGAGUUAUAAAGAUGUGAAAAUUGUACUCAAUCUAUUUUUCUACUGUGUACACAGGUAGACAAAAGGCUAGAAAGAAAUAGAUGUGUUAAAAUACAUAUACUCCCACUGAAUUUUUGAGUCUGGCUUUUGUUUAUUUAUAUUUUUAAUUUUUAUUUUUGUAGUGGGGAUUGAACCCAGGGGUGCUCUACCACUGAGCUAUGUAUCUUUUUUAUUUUUUAUUUUGAGUUACGGUUGCCUAGGUUGGCCUCAAACUUUGCAAUCCUCCUGCCUCAGCCUCCUGAGUCACUGGGCUUAUAGGUAUGCACCAUUGGCUUUCUUUCUAAAUAAUUUAUCGUGUGCAUUUCCCUAUCUCAUUAUGAAUACUCACUCUCCAUUGUUUUUUGAAGUUGCAUAAGAUUCUACCAUCUGGUUGCACCUAACUGCUUCCACAUUAUGAGCCCUUUAUUUAUUUUCAAUUUUUCACCAAGGAGAGUUCUGAGGUCAGCCAAGCCUAUUUUUUUCCCUCUUUUUAACCUUUUGCUUUGCUUUGUUUUGCUUUCAGCCUGAGAUAUUUAUAAUUCAUUUUUGCCUUGCUGUCAAACAGUGGGUUUCUUUCUUUCUUUGUUUAACCAAUUAUGCCUGGUGUAUCAUAUACCAUUUUGUUUUAUGAUUUUAGGUUUUUUUUUUCUUUUUUCUAGAAUGUUCUAUUCUAGACUUGAUUGGUGUUUUAGUGUCGUUACAUUUUUGGAGACUUUUUAUGGGAUCACUAAGCUUUUUUCUUUUUACACAUUGGAUCAUUUUUCUCCAUCAUACAUACUAUCUGCUCAGUAUUUUCAACUCUAGAUUCUAAAAGAUACAUUUCAAAUUUAUUAUUUCUUGGAAACUAAGGUUUUUGCAGUAUAAAUUCUGCUCUUUAUGGCUUCCAAUGUAAACUGUAGUUCUUAAGAGUGCAUUUAUUGUUUGUCUGCCUCCUUUAGUUUUCAUCUAGACUUUUUCGCACUUUAGCCAGCGUUGUGCUUUAUGUCUUGUCUCAUUUUUUCGUCUCCUUCUCCCUCUCCGGAAGCCAUUGCUCUUACCAGGGGCACGUGGGACAGAUCAUUUUCCACCUGAGUUCUAGUAACUCAGUUCCACUUGGUAAGUUCUGUUCUUUACAGGCAUUAUACUUCAUCAAGUGCUUAGAAAAAUAAAACAAUAAAAACAAUGCUUACUUCAGAUGUCUUAAAAAAUGUUUCCUUGCCAUUUAUCGAUGUAUAUGCCAAACAUACAAUAUACUUACAUUCAUUUAUUAUUUAUAAACUUAGCAAAGGGGAUAUGUUCUGAGAAAUGCAUCAUUAGUGACUUCAUCAUUGUGCAAACAUCAUAGGAUGCAUUUCUACUAUGUGAUAAAUCUUAGGUACCAUCAUCAUGUAUGUGGCCUGUCAUUGACUGGAGCAUCAGUAUAAAGUGCAUGACAAUGUAUGCACACACAUGACACUUUCUUAAAAUUCAAAGGCAUGCUUUCUUUGUAUCUUUAGGCAAACUACAGUCCAUGGAUCAAAUCUGGGCUGUUCACUCAUUUUUUUAUAAAUAAAGUUUUAUUGGAACAGGGAUGCCCUCAUUCACAUA